UGGGGAAUAUUGGACAAUGGACCAAAAGUCUGAUCCAGCAAUUCUGUGUGCACGAUGACGUUUUUCGGAAUGUAAAGUGCUUUCAGUUGGGAAGAAAAAAAAUGACGGUACCAACAGAAGAAGUGACGGCUAAAUACGUGCCAGCAGCCGCGGUAAUACGUAUGUCACAAGCGUUAUCCGGAUUUANNGGGCGUAAAGCGCGUCUAGGUGGUUAUGUAAGUCUGAUGUGAAAAUGCAGGGCUCAACUCUGUAUUGCGUUGGAAACUGCAUGACUAGAGUACUGGAGAGGUAAGCGGAACUACAAGUGUAGAGGUGAAAUUCGUAGAUAUUUGUAGGAAUGCCGAUGGGGAAGCCAGCUUACUGGACAGAUACUGACGCUAAAGCGCGAAAGCGUGGGUAGCAAACAGGAUUAGAUACCCUGGUAGUCCACGCCGUAAACGAUGAUUACUAGGUGUUGGGGGUCGAACCUCAGCGCCCAAGCUAACGCGAUAAGUAAUCCGCCUGGGGAGUACGUACGCAAGUAUG
rnacentral:rRNA from 1 species